rnacentral:rRNA from 1 species
GAUGAACGCUAGCGGCAGGCUUAACACAUGCAAGUCGAGGGGUAGAAGCAGCUUGCUGCUUUGAGACCGGCGCACGGGUGCGUAACGCGUAUGCAAUCUACCUUUUACAGAGGGAUAGCCCAGAGAAAUUUGGAUUAAUACCUCAUAGUAUGUGAGAAUCGCAUGGUUUUCACAUUAAAGUUCCAACGGUAAAAGAUGAGCAUGCGUCCCAUUAGCUAGAUGGUAAGGUAACGGCUUACCAUGGCGACGAUGGGUAGGGGUCCUGAGAGGGAGAUCCCCCACACUGGUACUGAGACACGGACCAGACUCCUACGGGAGGCAGCAGUGAGGAAUAUUGGACAAUGGGCGCAAGCCUGAUCUAGCCAUGCCGCGUGCAGGAUGACGGUCCUAUGGAUUGUAAACUGCUUUUGUACAGGAAGAAACACUCCCUCGUGAGGGAGCUUGACGGUACUGUAAGAAUAAGGAUCGGCUAACUCCGUG